rnacentral:rRNA from 1 species
AUACGGAAGGUCCGGGCGUUAUCCGGAUUUAUUGGGUUUAAAGGGAGCGCAGGCGGAGAUGCAAGCGUGACGUCAAAUUUCGGGGCUCAACCCCGUCUCGCGUCGCGAACUGCGUCCCUUGGUUGCGGGAAGGGGAGGCGGAACUCGUGGUGUAGCGGUGAAAUGCAUAGAUAUCACGAAGAACUCCGAUCGCGAAGGCAGCCUUCCGGCCCGUCAACGACGCUCAUGCUCGAAGGUGCGGGUAUCAAACAGGAUUAGAUACCCUGGUAGUCCGCACAGUAAACGAUGGACACCCGCGGAUUGGCCUAUAUGGCUGAGCCGCCAAGCGAAAGCGUUAAGUGUCCCGCCUGGGGAGUACGCCGGCAACGGUGAAACUCAAAGGAAUUGACGGGG